CCUACGGGAGGCAGCAGUGCGGAAUAUUGGUCAAUGGGCGCGAGCCUGAACCAGCCAAGUAGCGUGAAGGAUGACUGCCCUACGGGUUGUAAACUUCUUUUAUAAAGGAAUAAAGUGAGGCACGUGUGCCUUUUUGUAUGUACUUUAUGAAUAAGGAUCGGCUAACUCCGUGCCAGCAGCCGCGGUAAUACGGAGGCUCCGAGCGUUCUCCGGAUUUAUUGGUUUUAAAGGGGGCGUAAAUGGGUUGUUAAGUCAGUUGUGAAAGUUUGCGGCUCAACCGUAAAAUUGCAAUGGAUACUGGCAGUCUUGAGGACAGUUGAGGUAGGCGGAAUUCGUGGUGUAGCGGUGAAAUGCUGAGAUAUCACGAAGAACUCCGAUUGCGAAGGCAGCUUACUAAACUGCCACUGACAUUGAUGCUCGAAAGUGUGGGUAUCAAACAGGAUUAGAUACCCCUGUAGUC
rnacentral:rRNA from 1 species